rnacentral:tRNA from 1 species
UGGCGUAGUGCGCGAAGCCUCGGCUUGCUAAGCCGAAGGUCCCGGGUUCGAUUCCCGG